rnacentral:rRNA from 1 species
GUCUACAGCCAUGCCACCCUGAACAAGCCUGAUCGCAUCUGAUCUCGGAAGCUAAGCAGGGUCUGUCCUGGUUAGUGCUUGGAUGGGAGACCACCUAGGAAGACCCGGUGCUGUAGGCG